rnacentral:tRNA from 1 species
GCCUUCGUCGUAUAAUGGCUAGUACGUUAGCCUGUCGCGCUGAAGACCCGGGUUCAAUUCCCGGCGAGGGCG